AGCCGCCUCCGCGUGGAAAGCUUUGCCGGUUCCGCCCGUCCUCUCGGUGAUGAUUGCAGCGCACACGGUUAUGCAGGAGCAUGGAACAAGCGUGUGCGAGAGGACGCCGUCACCCCCUCGUCUCUGAGACGAGAGGCGUGGAAAUGAAUGCGAGGACAUGGAGGCUUGUUGUCAGAGCGGCUUGGCAGUCGGAGGGCGAGUGAACACCAGCCGUGUCAGUCGACACUCCCGUUUGUCUGUCAAGACUUUGGCCGAAUGACGACUGCAGCAUUUGCAUCAUGAAGACAUGUGGAUUAGAAGACACAUUUUACCCAAGAGGAGACUAAGGGCCACUCCAGCAAAGUGGAGAGUGUGGAGUGUAAUAGCACAGGGGCCAGAGCUGAGACACUGCAGCUGGUCGUGCCUUGGAAAAGACAUUUUACCCAAGAGGAGACUCAGGGCUGCUUCGGCAAAGCGGAGAGUGUGGAGUAUAAUACUGCAGCGUCCAGAGCUACAAUAACAGCUACAGCGGGUGUGUUGAUGCUGGUCAUUUCUAGCUGUAUAUUAGAAGACACGUUUUAUCCAAGAGGAGACUGAGGGCCACUACAUCACAGUGGCGACUGUGGAGUAUAAUACUGCAGCAACAGCUACAGUUAACGUUAGCAUGUGUGUUGCUGUCGGUCAUUUCUAGCCGUGUAUUAGAAGACACCGUUUUAUCUAAGAGGAGACUGAGGGCCACUACAGCAUAGAGGAGAGUGUGGAGCAGCGUCCACAGCUAGGACAACUGCAACAGUUAACAGUAGCAUGUGUGUUUCCACAUUGUGUGUGUAUUAGCAGACACAUUUUAUCGGAGAAGAGACUAAGGGCAGCCAGGAAGCAGAGCACUGCAGAAAAGUGGAGACUGUGGAGUAUAUUACUGCUGCAGGUAAGCUAGCUUGUUAUUUUGGUCAUUUCAAGGCAUGUGUCCUCACAUUUUAUUUAUCAGUGUAAGAAACCUUUGGCUCCGCCUCUCUAGCUGAUAUUUCCACGUGGAGUGCGACCAUAACCACUGGUGGGCUCAUAUAUUGACCAUAAAAUGUGCUUUUCUAUUUCCUCCAUCAAUUCAAGUGUCAAGUCUUAUUUUCUCUGCUGGGUUAGGAGAGACCAGCUGAGGAGUGAAAACAAGGCUUCUUCCUACUCGGCGGGCUGUGUUUUCUUUUUAACGACAUCCCUUCCUCAUUGUAAUUCCCAGCCCAAGAUGGUUGUCACAUAUUCAACAGAGCUGUAAAGUCGUCUUCCCGGCCGCCGCGGCGAACGACACCCGCGGGAAUCACCGCGCCGCUCCUUGUCAACAGCGGCGGCCAUCAGCACGUCUGCCGCAGCGCGAGCCCACAUUAACGCCGCGGCGGGCAGCUGUGCGCUCGAACGGAACAUGGCGUAACUCGCCUGAGAUCCGUUGGAAGCGAGCCCGGCAGGAUGCGGUCGCCAAACGACGUCUGGAAAAGUCAACGUCCACCAAAGAAAACCGUUGACCUCCAAUUACGCUGCUAAUUUCAGGCAUGUAGUUGAAAGAUAUACAGUGUUCAUAUAUAUAUAUAUAUAUAUAUAUAUAUAUAUAUAUAUAUAUAUAUAUAUGGUCCACAUGCGUCUAAAUUGACAAUGUAUAACAGGGGUGUCCAAAGUUACUGUAAUUUAAAAAGAAAAAUAAAAAAAUGGAUGGAAUAAUCAGCUGGAACAAGAAUAAAGUCAAAAUAUGAAAAGAAAAAGUUGAAAAAGGAAAAAUGUGUACUUUUACAAGAAUAUUGUCGUAAUAUUAUGAGGAAAAAUAACAUUUUAGUAGCAUAAAGUUGAACUAUUAAAGAAAGAUGUUUAUUUUUUUAAGUCGUAAUAUUGUGAAAGACAAACAAUGGAACGACUAAAGUGGUCAUUUUUGGAAAAUCAGGCUGCAGAAACGGAGAAUAAAGUGUAAAUAUGAUGGGAAUCAAGUCAGAAUGACCAGAAAAAAAGUUUACAAGCACAAAGUUGGGAAAAAACAUCAGAAAUGGAAAAACAAACAAAAAAAAACAGCUGUAAUUUUAUGAGAAUAAAGUCACAAUAUUAGGAGGGAAAAUAGUCAUUUUCUAACUCUUUCUAACGGUAAUUUUACAAGAAUAAACUCAUAAUAUUUUGAAAAAAAUAAUGUCAUUUUAGUAGCAAAGAGUUUAAAAAUGAAAGAAAAAUGAUUUUGCUAGCGGCGGCCGUCUGUUUUGUCCCUGCUGGUACGCCGUAGCCUGCCUUUGUGACGUAGGAGUGUAAAGGUGGACUCUAGGGGUGUUAUUUCAUGUCUGCAGGGCUCUAAUCAUAUUAAAACUCAUAUUUAGAAGUCAGAAACAGGUUUCCUGUACUGUCCUACAAAAAUAUUCCAUUUAUUAGUAUUGAAUCCUUUAUUAAUAUUCAUAUUCAUAUUCAUAUUGAAUUCAAGCACAGGGCUCUUGUCACAUAGAGGAUCUUCGAGUGGUGUGUUUGCAGCAGAUCCUUAAAAACAGCAACCCAUUCCUGUCAUGUAGAGGAUCUUUGACUAAUGUGUCCUUAAAAACAGCAGAGCGCUGCAGUCAUAUGGACGCUUAUUGACGCUUGUUUUUGCAGCAGGUCCUUUAUGACAGCACAACACUCCUGUCACAUAGAGGAUCUUUGACUGGUGUUUUUGCAGCAGGUCCUUUGUGACAGCACAACACUCCUGUCACAUAGAGGAUCUUUGACUCACACCUUUGCAGCAGAUCCUUAAAAAAGCAGCUGACCUUUCCUGUCACAUAGAGGAUCUUUGACGAGUGCCCUUAAAAACAUCAGAGCGCCUGUCAGUUAUAGAGAGGAUCUUCGAGUGGUGUUUUUCCAGUAGAUCCCUGCCAGUCCUCAGCGUCGUUCCUCAGUAGAACGUUCAUGAAAGUGUAGUGCUGUUGUGUGCGUUUAUGCAAGGUCAGCACUUUGCCGUGUUUUUCAUCUCAAAUCCAUCCAAACACUCUCGGGCUCUGCGAGAAAAUAAUGAAUAAAAACGCAAUCCCUUUGUUUAUUUAUUUGUUUUCUUGGUAAUUGUUUUCACGGCCGUCGCCUGCAGGCGUGCACAAGGACGGCGGUGAGCUAAAUUCCCUCAAACGGCGAAAGCCAGAUGGAACGCUUUCAUCCAGUCAGCAAAUCAUUUGGCCUCAGAUUGAUGGGCGCUCACUUUGUCUGGCACACGUGCGCGCGCACGCGCGUGAGUGUGGGUGGUCCACAUGCGCGUCUAAAUUGACAAUUCCCUCGGCACCGGCGAAAAUAUGUCAUUUUGUCCUACCCAAGAACGUGCAAGAUGGUGUGUUCACGGGAAAAAGGAAUUGAGAAACUCCUCACCAAUGUGCUGCAUUGACGCUGUAAUUUGGAACGACGAGGAGGACAAAGACAUGAAGACGUGCUUUACAGAGACAAGGAACUCCCCCCGAAGGAUCCUCCUCGCUAUAUGUUAGCUUGUCGCAGGUGCUAAUUGCUGGAAAAUCCUUUGGGUUCCUUUCGUGUUUCUGCAACAGCUUGUCCCUGAUCCCGCAGGCUUACCGGACAUCAAAGCACCCCUCAGGACGCAAAUCCUCCUCUGUUGGCAGCACCGCCAUAAAACUACAACAUAAAACAUAAAACAUAAAACAUAUUACAUAAUAUUUAUGUAUUGAUUUACUAGGGACAAUGCAUAUCAAUGCACAUCUGCAACCGAUACACAAUAUAAUCCAUCCAUCCAUUUUCUAUACCACUUCUUAGGGUCGCGGGGGCAUGCUGGAGCCUAUCCCAGCUGACUUCGGGCGACAGGCGGGGUACACCCUGCACUGGUGUCCAGCCAAUGGCAGGGCACAUAUAGACAACCAAUCACAUUCAUACCUAUGGACCAUUUAGAGUCUCCAAUGAAGCUAACAUGCAUGUUUUUGGAAUGUGGGAGGAAACCCACACACACACGGGGAAAACAUGCAAACUCCACACAGAGAUGCCCAAGGGAGAAUCCAACCCAGGUCUUCUGUGUGACCAACAUGCUAACCACUAGACCACCGUGCGGCCAUAGAAUAUGAUAUUAUUUUAAUACAAUAAUAGUUAUUAUUAUUAUGUACAUAUAAUAAUAUAUCAUAAUUGUAGUAAUACAUCACACUAUAAUUGAUCAUUUUAAUUAUUUUCUUAUAUAUACAGCAGGGGUGUCCAAAGCUUUUGCAGCGAGGGCCACUUGGAUAUUUACUGUAGCAAAGCAGCACAUGGAGAUGUGCUAAGAAGCUACCGUACACGUAGCUCAAGCUAAACCUUCACCUAUUACAAAGGUGAAAUGCUACUAAAAACUACGUUUUUCCGUAACAAUGCGGGUUUAUUCUUGUAAAAUUGAGACUUUUGCUCUUCAUUCGAUUGUGACUUUUUUUCUUAAUAUUUUGACUUUAUUCCCAUAAAAUGACAGCUGUUUUUUUUUCCAUUUCUGCUGUUUUCUAUUGUAUUUUUUCAUGACCCCACCAGGGAUAAAGUUCAUGCUCGUACUCGUAUUAGGUAGUAAUCAUCAUUUCCAGUAAAGCGCUAAGCGUUCAUGGAAAAGCUCAGCGAUUCUCCUCCGCUGCUUAUUUGCAGCUUCUGGCAGCCGGCUCGCACUUCCUCAAGGGAACCAUUCCACUAAUUAAAGAUGAAUUCCAUUAUUACCUUGGAGUGGAGGUUGCUUUUUAUUUGCAACAUGAGAAGAAGCUCUUGGUUGAAAGCUUCGUGGUGAAAACAGAAGGCGGAGGAUUUGUGUCACAAAGUAGCACAAAGAACAUCGUCACUGCCGAGCGUCUCCGUCCCGGCGAAGCCGGCGCGCCACAAAGAUGGCUGCCAGGUCACCACAUGGCAGCCGCUCUAAACGGUUCCCAGCGUCACGGAGAACAUUUGUAAAUAUUUGCCUUAUUUCUUGCUUUUUAUUAGCCUCCAACUUCCACAUGCUUCACAGUAAAAACCCACAAUAACACAGAAAUGGAAAAAACAUCAUUUUUAUCAUCAACAUACUUUGAUGAAAAUAAUGUCAUUUUAGCUGCAUAUAAAGUUGAAAUAUUAAAGAGAAAAAUGUAUUUUUUAUGUUUUUUUUAGUUAGAAUAUUAUGGGAAUAGCCAUAAGAAUAUUAAAAGAAAAUGUACAAAGAUUAUUGAAGAAGGAAGCUAGAAGGAAGCUAACAACCAAAAUGGGAAAUAUAGAUACAUUCUAAUAUAUACUCUAUAUUAUUAUAUAACAUUUAUAUGAUAUUAUAUCUAUACAUACACAUUAUAUGCAUGAAUAAAUAAAUAAUACAUAUAUAUUUAUAUAUAUUAUACAUUUUUUAUGUAAUAUAUUUUUAAUUAAUACCAAUGUUAUGUAAUGUAAUAAUAUGACAAAAAAAACAAAACAAAAUGGAAAAUUAGGUUGGGAAAAAAUGUAGAAUAUUAUGGGAUUAAAGUCAUAAUAUUAUGAAAAUAAAAUGUACAUUUUUUUUUUUAAGUUGAAAUACUGUGAAAAUUUAAAACAAAAAUAGCAAAAAUGGGGGUAAAAACAGCAGAGAGUGAAGUUGAUAUUAACAACAGGCUUUUUCGUUGGGAUGCAGUUUUUUCCUGGAAGAGCGUCUUCGCAUGUCUACAUGCGUUGCUUUACAAAAUACCAAAGUGGCAAAGUCGCGUCCUUUCAUUUUUCACCACGUCGGCCCUCGCUGGUAAAACGUUUGCACACGUGCGCACAUGAAAUACGUCGCUGCAAUUGUUCCCUGCAGGAGGUCAUUAGCAGGAGCACGAGCCUCCUUUUCAUAAGCCGAGAUUUGCCACCAAACUUUAGCGUUUGUUCUGCCACGAUCCGCAGUUCGUGAAAAACAAAACGAACGAUGAACUUUUGGGGUUUUCUUCAUCGUCGUCUCCACGUUUUAGAAGAGAAAGCUGCAGUCGCUAUUAUCACACGAGUGGAAUCCCAGCGGGAGCGGCAGUGGGGGGGCUGCUCCUUUAAAAAAAAAAAGAAGAAGAAGACGUGGAUGUGGGAAGGCAGGAACCUUGACUAAUAACCCGCAUGUGAUGUUAGAGUUUGACUCCGAGCCUUUGAAGGAUCUCGCAGUUACUCUCGUAAUUACUUCAUUGAUUACUUUGGCUGCAAAGUACAAUUUUUACAAAGUCGGCUCGAGUGAAGAUUGUGGCCUUUGUAGCGAAGACGCGACACUAACUGGUGGGAGAAUGACUCAUUUUUAAGGACUUUUUUGAAGGUGUUCAAAAUACUCAAAAGGUUCGCCAACAAUUUUUUUUACAUAUUUAUUUUCCUUAAUUUGCAUAUUUUGAAUGCUACUUUUUCUGUAAAGUGAUUGCCCCCCUGUUAAAACAUAACUUAACUGAGAUAAAUUGAGAUCUAUCAGAGUGGAAAAGGUUAUAAAGCCAUUUGUAAAGCUUUGGGACUCCAGCCAACCACAGUGAGAGCCAUUAUCCACAAAUGGCCAAAACAUGGAACAGUGGUGAACCUUCCCAGGAGCGGCCGGCCAACCAAAAUGACCCCAAGAGCGCAGCGAUGACUCAUCCAAGAGGUCACAAAAGACCCCACAACAACAUCCAAAGAACUGCAGGCCUCACUUGCCUCAGUUAAGGUCAGUGUUCAUGACUCCACCAUAAGAAAGACACUGGGCAAAAACGGCCUGCUUGGCAGAGUUCCAAGACCAAAACCACUGCUGAACAAAAAGAACAUUAAGGCUCGUCUCCAUUUUGCCAGAAAUCAUCUUGAUGAUCCCCAAGACCUUUGGGAAAAUACUCUGUGGUCUGACGAGACAAAAGUUGAACUUUUUGGAAGGUGUGUGUCCCAUUACAUCUGGCGUAAAAGUAACACAGUAUUUCAGAAAAAGAACAUCAUAGCAACAGUAAAAUAUGGUGGUGGUAGUGUGAUGGUCUGGGGCUGUUUUGCUGCUUCAGGACCCGAAAGACUUGCUGUGAUAAAUGGAAGCAUGAAUUGUGCUGAAGGAGAAUGUCCGGCCAUCUGUUGGUGACCUCAAGCUGAAAGCAACUUGGGUUCUGCAGCAGGACAAUGAUCCAAAACACACCAGUCCACCUCUGAAUGGAUGAAGACUUUGGAGUGGUCUAGUCCAAGUCCUGACCUGAAUCCUAUUGAGAUGCUGUGGCAUGACCUUCAAAAGGCGCUUGAUGCUGGAAAAGCCUCCAAUGUGGCUGAAUGACAACAAUUCUGCAAAGACGAGUGGGCAAAAAUUCCUCCAAAGCGCUGUAAGUUUUUUUUUCUCCCUUAAAAAUAAAAGUUUAAUUUAAAAACUGCAUUUUGUGUUGAGUUGUGUUGUCAUUGACUCAUGUGUGGCAAACAUGCAGAAAAAUCAGAAACUUUCUCUACUGUAUAUACAGUACAGUAUUUAUAUGUGUUUUUAUUUUUACUGAUGCCUUUUCAUUUUCAUUUCAUAGAAAAUGACAAAGUAAAUUUUAUCACAAUUUUCAUUUCCAUCCAUCCAUCCAUUUUCUAUGCCGCUUAUCUCAUUUGGGUCGCGGGGGUAUGCUGGAGCCUAUCCCAGAUGACUUCAGGCACAUUUUUAAAAAAUAUGUGUUUAAACGUCUACAGUAUAUUCUCAUGUUCUAAUUUUGACUUUGCUUCAUUUUUACUGUCAAACGUGAACAUUCUAGAAAUGGAAGACCCAGGAAGGCACGGUCAGGCAAUGUCUUCAUGUUCAUGCAGCAGAAAAUAGCACAAAUAAUAUGUAUCCCAUGUUAUAUUUUCUGUUUUCAUUUGAUUUCUUUAUUUAUUUUUGGUUGAGCAGGAAUAUUACAGAAACAGUCCCAAGAUGGAAUGCUCAGGUAAAACCUUUUUAUUGCAGUUUAUUAACAUGGCACUCAUCCAACCACACCAGUCAUAUUUUGCUGUCGUUCUAUGAAUUGUAUCCCAUUUUUACCAUCAGUGAAUAUUGGAACGGUCCGGCAAUGUGCACUCACAGGAAUUUAGCAGAAUCAUACGAAAAUGUACGGAAUAUGACAUAAAGAAGCAAGUAUGUGUCAGUAAUUAGUAGAAAAACUUUUCCAGGCUGUGAGCUUGAUGUGUUUUUAAUUUGUGUACGCGAUGAAAGAAAAUGAAAGAAGCCAUGAAAGUCUCCUUCAAGUCCACCUGGCAACUAAAACACAAAGCGCUUUGGAAUCUGUCGCCUCGGGGUCCUUUACUUUCGACACUGAGCGAGCGCUUGGCGUCAAGGCAGAGGAACACCCUCCCGCGUUGGCUGACGGACCAUCUGAGGGUGGGUGGCCAUCUGCCACAAGCGCCUGGGUGGAGAGUAGACGUGGCCCUUGGCUUUGAAGCCUUCCCAGUUAGGUUAGACAUCGAAAAACAAAGCACUGACAUGUGGCGCGUUCUCCAGCGCUAGGAAGUAGGGCGCUAACCGUGUCGCAAAGCCCCCUAGUGGACGAAAAAGGCAUGAGCGUUACAGUUCUCGCUUCAGAGAUGCAGAGAAAUAUGCUGUAGUUGCGUGCGGUUUAGCAAUAUUGUCAGUCUGUUUUUGUGGUGCAAUAAAAUCCAGUUUUACAGAUAAAAACACAUUUAGCACCAGAAACUCUUUCAAUGCUGCAAUGAACGCCUCUUCAAUUAACCGCAGGGUCUCCAAGAGCAAAGAACCGCCAAUUACUCUCAUGAGUUAUUAAUAGCUGUGGCUGUAGGCAAACUGCUGAUGUCGCUUAGUAACACCGCAAGACAACAGCCGCUGCAUGUGAUUAGCACCUGCGGCUAGCUCUGCAUGCGCUUGAAAAGACUGGUCAUGAAUGUCUCGCCAUGCGGUUGUGUGCAAUCAACUCGUGCCGACUCCGUAGCGCUGUCACAACAUUGGUUGUGUGGCUGCUGUGUUGUGCGAUAUGCUUGCUCGUAAGCGACCAUGUGGUCCAAAAAAACCUCCACACUUUCUCAUGCACUCCAAAUCAUUAUUUCAAAAAAUGUAAGAAAACAUUUUAAUCAAAUCGUAAUUUAAUUUCUAUGUAAAUAUAUAUUUAGAUCUAUAUAAUAUGUCUUACAAUAUAA